UCCGAUAUGGUGUAACGGCUAACAUUGCCGCCUUUCAAUGUGUUGUCAGGAUACGCGGCAGCUCGGGGUUCGAUUCCCCGUAUCGGAA